rnacentral:rRNA from 1 species
UGGGGAAUUUUGGACAAUGGGCGCAAGCCUGAUCCAGCCAUUCCGCGUGCAGGACGAAGGCCUUCGGGUUGUAAACUGCUUUUGUACGGAACGAAAAGCCCUUCUCUAAUACAGAGGGGUCAUGACGGUACCGUAAGAAUAAGCACCGGCUAACUACGUGCCAGCAGCCGCGGUAAUACGUAGGGUGCAAGCGUUAAUCGGAAUUACUGGGCGUAAAGCGUGCGCAGGCGGUUUUGUAAGACAGUUGUGAAAGCCCCGGGCUUAACCUGGGAACUGCAAUUGUGACUGCAAGGCUAGAGUGUGUCAGAGGGGGGUGGAAUUCCACGUGUAGCAGUGAAAUGCGUAGAUAUGCGGAGGAACACCGAUGGCGAAGGCAAUCCCCUGGGCCUGUACUGACGCUCAUGCACGAAAGCGUGGGGAGCAAACA